GACGAACGCUGGCGGCGUGCUUAACACAUGCAAGUCGAACGGAAAGGCCCUGCUUUUGUGGGGUGCUCGAGUGGCGAACGGGUGAGUAACACGAGAGUAACCUGCCCUUGACUUUGGGAUAACUUCAGGAAACUGGGGCUAAUACCGGAUAGGAGCUCCUGCUGCAUGGUGGGGGGUGGAAAGUUUCUGCGGUUGGGGAUGGACUCGCGGCUUAUCAGCUUGUUGGUGGGGGAGUGGCUUACCAAGGCUUUGACGGGUAGCCGGCCUGAGAGGGUGACCGGCCACAUUGGUCCUGCGAUACGGCCCAGUGUCCUACGGUAGACAGCAGUGGGGAAUAUUGCCCAAUGGGCGGAAGCCUGAUGCAGCAACGCCGCGUGCGUGAUGACGGCCUUCGGGUUGUAAACCGCUUUCGCCUGUGACGAAGCGUGAGUGACGGUAAUGGGUAAAGAAGCACCGGCUAACUACGUG
rnacentral:rRNA from 1 species